AAGCGUGCGCAGGCGGUUAUGUAAGACAGAUGUGAAAUACCCCGGGCUCAACCUGGGAACUGCAUUAGUGACUGCAUAGCUGGAGUACGGCAGAGGGGGAUGGAAUUCCGCGUGUAGCAGUGAAAUGCGUAGAUAUGCGGAGGAACACCGAUGGCGAAGGCAAUCCCCUGGGCCUGUACUGACGCUCAUGCACGAAAGCGUGGGGAGCAAACAGGAUUAGAUACCCCAGU
rnacentral:rRNA from 1 species